GACGAACGCUGGCGGCGUGCUUAACACAUGCAAGUCGAACGGAAAGGCCCUGCUUUUGUGGGGUGCUCGAGUGGCGAACGGGUGAGUAACACGUGAGUAACCUGCCCUUGACUUUGGGAUAACUUCAGGAAACUGGGGCUAAUACCGGAUAGGAGCUCCUGCUGCAUGGUGGGGGUUGGAAAGUUUCGGCGGUUGGGGAUGGACUCGCGGCUUAUCAGCUUGUUGGUGGGGUAGUGGCUUACCAAGGCUUUGACGGGUAGCCGGCCUGAGAGGGUAACCUGCCACAUUGGGACUGAGAUACGGCCCAGACUCCUACGGGAGGCAGCAGUGGGGAAUAUUGCACAAUGGGCGGAAGCCUGAUGCAGCAACGCCGCGUGCGGGAUGACGGCCUUCGGGUUGUAAACCGCUUUCGCCUGUGACGAAGCGUGAGUGACGGUAAUGGGUAAAGAAGCACCGGCUAACUACGUG
rnacentral:rRNA from 1 species